UGGGGAAUAUUGGACAAUGGGCGCAAGCCUGAUCCAGCCAUGCCGCGUGAGUGAUGAAGGCCCUAGGGUUGUAAAGCGCUUUCAGCGGGGGAAGAUGAUGACGGUACCCGCAGAAGAAGCACCGGCUAACUCCGUGCCAGCAGCCGCGGUAAUACGGAGGGGGUUAGCGUUGUUCGGAAUUACUGGGCGUAAAGCGCACGUAGGCGGACCAGAAAGUUGGGGGUGAAAUCCCGGGGGCUCAACCCCCGGAACUGCCUCCAAAACUAUUGGUCUAGAGUUCGAGAGAGGUGAGUGGAAUUCCAAGUGUAGAGGUGAAAAUUCGUAGAUAUUAGGAAGAACACCAGUGGCGAAGGCGACUCACUGGACAGGUAUUGACGCUGAGGUACGAAAGCGUGGGGAGCGAACAGGAUUAGAUACCCUGGUAGUCCACGCGUAAACGAUGAAUGUUAGCCGUCGGGCAGUAUACUGUUCGGUGGCGCAGCUAACGCAUUAAACAUUCCGCCUGGGGAGUACGGUCGC
rnacentral:rRNA from 1 species